rfam:Pongo abelii chromosome 22, whole genome shotgun sequence.
GCCGGGCGCGGUGGCGCACGCCUGUAAUCCCACCACUUUGGGAGGCCGAGGGGGGCGGAUCACCUGAGGUCAGGAGUUCGAGACCCGCCUGACCAACAUGGAGAAACCCCGUCUCUA